rnacentral:tRNA from 1 species
GGCAUCAUAGCUUAAUUGAAUAGAGCAUCUGACUACGGAUCAGAAAGUUACAGGUUUGAAUCCUGUCGGUGGCA